CUUCAGCCAUGCCAGAGCUGGGACGGGAACCCGGGAUUGCGGCUGCACAUGUCACCGAUUACCACCGGGCCGGUGGCGGGCGCUUCUCCCGGACUCAGCAGGCCUGGGUUCUUCGUCCGCGCAAUGGACCUCCCGAGAGCCCGGACUCCUUCUCAGGGGGGUUGUGAAACCAGCAUGCUGCAGAAUGUGACGGGUGUUGGCAUCUAUACGCACCCACAAGAUGGUGAGCAUAGCCGCCAUCCUCCAAAAGUUUUCUUGCAUCCCUUCGUGGGACCUCCUGGCCCCCGAUGUCCCAAGGCCACCACCGAGCUGCUUUCCGUCGACAGCUCCUCUGAAGACUCAUGCAUAAAUCUUUGCAUGAACCCAAGUUUCCACUGCGCUGGGAUAAAUACCUAGAGGGAGCGGCCAGGUCCCAAGGUAAGUGUAUGUUUCAAUCUCUAAAAAGCCGCCGAAUGUUCUCCAAAGUGGUUGAGCCACUUUACAUUCCCGAAAACCGAACCGGGGGGAGGAGGGUCCCAUAGCGGGAUGGGGACUGGAACAGAGGCCUGCCCAGCUCCAGAGCCCCUGUCCCGUCACUGCCGAGCUGGCCCUCGCUCGGAGCUGGCCUUGUUCCCUGGGCUGCCUGGCUGGAGAAGGAGCCAACAGACAGCAGGGGCUGAGAUGCUCUCCACCCACAGGCGCCCUCCCUGCCCUGCCCACUGGCAUCAGCCACCCCCUCCCCUGUAGGUCUGGCUUCCUCUCUGAGCAGAGCGGAUGCCUUCCGGGGGGG